rnacentral:rRNA from 1 species
UACCAGACUCCUACGGGAGGCAGCAGUGGGGAAUAUUGCACAAUGGGGGAAACCCUGAUGCAGCGACGCCGCGUGAGCGAUGAAGUAUUUCGGUAUGUAAAGCUCUAUCAGCAGGGAAGAAAAUGACGGUACCUGACUAAGAAGCCCCGGCUAACUACGUGCCAGCAGCCGCGGUAAUACGUAGGGGGCAAGCGUUAUCCGGAUUUACUGGGUGUAAAGGGGGCGCAGACGGCAGCGCAAGCCAGGAGUGAAAGCCCGGGGCCCAACCCCGGGACUGCUCUUGGAACUGCGCGGCUGGAGUGCAGGAGGGGCAGGCGGAAUUCCUGGUGUAGCGGUGAAAUGCGUAGAUAUCAGGAGGAACACCGGUGGCGAAGGCGGCCUGCUGGACUGCAACUGACGUUGAGGCCCGAAAGCGUGGGGAGCAAACAGGAUUAGAUACCCUCGUAGG